CCACGUCCUUCACUGCCUCUGCUACCCGGUUAGAUUAACGUCUCUCUCCUAGUCGCUGAUAUCAAUCUGUUGGGAGAAGCUGAGCAAGUCUCUGCUAUUGGUCUAUCAUUGACGCCACUGCUAUCGAUCUGUUAGGAGAAGCUGCGAAUUUCUCUGCUACUAGUACGUCUCUAUCUCCUAAAGUUCUAUUCGAGUUCGUGUGUGGUACUAUGUCUUGUUGCUGCUACUGAUAUCUGGAGAAGUCAAGCGCUAUAGACUUUAUUUUUUGUGGUUUCAGAAAACCAAGGGCUAUUUCUUGUGUGAAAGUGGAUGUGGAACAUAAUUUUGUUUCAAUUUCUAUCAGUGUUAACUGAUGCUCCUGAAACCUGGGCAGUGUGAUGUUUGUAUGGUACUUCCAUCUGCCACUGAAAGGAGCCACUGCCAUCAAUAGCUUAGUUCUUGUUCAGCAUAACAGGAAGUCCCAUAUGCUGAUCUAGUCCCAAAUGUUAACAUUUUUUUCAUUUACUCCCUUUGCUUUGUUGGUAUGUUUA